AACGAACGCUGGCGGCAUGCCUAACACAUGCAAGUCGAACGAGACCUUCGGGUCUAGUGGCGCACGGGUGCGUAACGCGUGGGAACCUGCCCUUAGGUUCGGAAUAACUCCCCGAAAGGGGUGCUAAUACCGGAUAAUGUCUUCGGACCAAAGAUUUAUCGCCUUUGGAUGGGCCCGCGUUGGAUUAGCUAGUUGGUAGGGUAAAAGCCUACCAAGGCGACGAUCCAUAGCUGGUCUGAGAGGAUGAUCAGCCACACUGGCACUGAGACACGGCCCAGACUCCUACGGGAGGCAGCAGUGGCGAAUAUUGGACAGUGGGCGAGAGCCUGAUCCAGCAAUGCCGCGUGAGUGAUGAAGGCGUGAGGGUUGUAAAGCUCGGUUACCCGGGAUGAUAAUGACCUUACCAGGCGAAUAAGCUCCGGCUAACUCCGUG
rnacentral:rRNA from 1 species